rnacentral:rRNA from 2 species
UGCAGUCGACGAGCUUCCGUUGAUGACGUGCUUGCACUGAUUUCAACAAUGAAGCGAGUGGCGAACUGGUGAGUAACACGUGGGGAAUCUGCCCAGAAGCAGGGGAUAACACUUGGAAACAGGUGCUAAUACCGUAUAACAACAAAAUCCGCAUGGAUUUUGUUUGAAAGGUGGCUUCGGCUAUCACUUCUGGAUGAUCCCGCGGCGUAUUAGUUAGUUGGUGAGGUAAAGGCCCACCAAGACGAUGAUACGUAGCCGACCUGAGAGGGUAAUCGGCCACAUUGGGACUGAGACACGGCCCAAACUCCUACGGGAGGCAGCAGUAGGGAAUCUUCCACAAUGGACGAAAGUCUGAUGGAGCAAUGCCGCGUGAGUGAAGAAGGGUUUCGGCUCGUAAAACUCUGUUGUUAAAGAAGAACACCUUUGAGAGUAACUGUUCAAGGGUUGACGGUAUUUAACCAGAAAGCCACGGCUAACUACGUGCCAGCAGCCGCGGUAAUACGUAGGUGGCAAGCGUUGUCCGGAUUUAUUGGGCGUAAAGCGAGCGCAGGCGGUUUUUUAAGUCUGAUGUGAAAGCCUUCGGCUUAACCGGAGAAGUGCAUCGGAAACUGGGAGACUUGAGUGCAGAAGAGGACAGUGGAACUCCAUGUGUAGCGGUGGAAUGCGUAGAUAUAUGGAAGAACACCAGUGGCGAAAGGCGGCUGUCUAGUCUGUAACUGACGCUGAGGCUCGAAAGCAUGGGUAGCGAACAGGAUUAGAUACCCUGGUAGUCCAUGCCGUAACGAUGAGUGCUAGUGUGGAGGUUUCGUCCUUCAGUGCUGCAGCUACGCAUAGCACUCGCUGGGGAGUACGACGCAGUGAACUCAAGGAAUGACGGG